CAGCCGCCACGGUAAUACGAAGGGGGCUAGCGUUGUUCGGAAUUACUGGGCGUAUAGGGCGCGUAGGCGGCCAUUCAAGUUAGAUGUGAAAGCCCUGGGCUCAACCUAGGAAUUGCAUUUGAUACUGUUUGGCUUGAGUUCGGGAGAGGUGAGUGGAAUUCCCAGUGUAGAGGUGAAAUUCGUAGAUAUUGGGAAGAACACCAGUGGCGAAGGCGGCUCACUGGACCGACACUGACGCUGAGGCGCGAAAGCGUGGGGAGCAAACAGGAUUAGAUACCCCGGUAGUCCCUGUCUCUUAUAC
rnacentral:rRNA from 1 species